rnacentral:rRNA from 1 species
AUACGGAGGGUGCAAGCGUUAUCCGGAAUCACUGGGUUUAAAGGGUGCGUAGGCGGCUCAAUCAGUCAGGGGUGAAAUCUUGCAGCUUAACUGUAAAAUUGCCUUUGAUACUGUUGAGCUUGAAUUAGGUUGAGGUUGGCGGAAUGUGACAUGUAGCGGUGAAAUGCAUAGAUAUGUCAUAGAACACCAAUUGCGAAGGCAGCUGGCUAGACCUUAAUUGACGCUGAGGCACGAAAGCGUGGGGAGCGAACAGGAUUAGAUACCCCGGUAGUCC